rnacentral:rRNA from 1 species
GAUGAACGCUGGCGGCGUGCCUUAUACAUGCAGGUCGAGCGAACAGAUAAGGAGCUUGCUCCUUUGACGUUAGCGGCGGACGGGUGAGUAACACGUGGGUAACCUACCUAUAAGACUGGAAUAACUCCGGGAAACCGGGGCUAAUGCCGGAUAACAUUUAGAACCGCAUGGUUCUAAAGUGAAAGAUGGUUUUGCUAUCACUUAUGGAUGGACCCGCGCCGUAUUAGCUAGUUGGUAAGGUAACGGCUUACCAAGGCAACGAUACGUAGCCGACCUGAGAGGGUGAACGGCCACACUGGAACUGAGACACGGCCCAGACUCCUACGGGAGGCAGCAGCUGGGAAUAUUCCGCAAUGGGCGAAAGCCUGACGGAGCAACGCCGCGUGGGUGAUGAAGGUUGUAGGAUCGUAAAACCCUGUUAUUAGGGAAGAACAAAUGUGUAAGUAAAUGUGCACGUGUUGACGGUACCUAAUCAGAAAGCCACGGCUAACUACGUG